rnacentral:rRNA from 1 species
GACAGAGGUGCCGAGCGUUAGGCGGAAUCACUGGGCUUAAAGCGUGUGUAGGCGGGCCGUUAAGUGUCUUGUGAAAUCCCCCGGCUCAACCGGGGAAUUGCUGGGCAUACUGGCGGUCUUGAGCAGUCUAGGGGCAGAUGGAACAAGUGGUGGAGCGGUGAAAUGCGUAGAGAUCCGGCGGAACACCGGUGGUGAAGACGGUCUCCUGGGCCGAGGCCGACGCUGAGGCGCGAGAGCGUGGGGAGCGAACCGG